AGAAAUUUAGGUUAAUAGUUAGACCAAAAGCCUUCAAAGCUUUAAGUAGAAGUGAAAAUCCUCUAAUUUCUG
rnacentral:tRNA from 1 species